rnacentral:rRNA from 1 species
AGAGUUUGAUCAUGGCUCAGGAUAAACGCUGGCGGCGUGCAUUAGACAUGCAAGUCGAACGAACGACCUCGGGCUUGCCCGGGGAAGUUAGUGGCGAACGGCUGAGUAACGCGUGGGUGACCUGCCCUGGAGUGGGGAAUAACUGCCCGAAAGGGUGGCUAAUACCGCAUACGGUCAUGAGUUCGGUCUCAUGUCCAAAGCCUUUGGGCGCUCCUGGAGGGGCCUGCGUUCGAUUAGCUCGUUGGUGAGGUAACGGCUCACCAAGGCGACGAUCGAUAGGUGGUCUGAGAGGAUGAUCACCCAGACUGGGACUGAGACACGGCCCAGACAACUACGGUUGGCAGCAGUCGGGAAUUUUGCCCAAUGGGGGAAACCCUGAGGCAGCAACGCCGCGUGAGGGAUGAAGGCCUUCGGGUUGUAAACCUCUUUUCUUAGGGACGAUAAUGACGGUACCUGAGGAAUAAGCCACGGCUAACUACGUGCCAGCAGCCGCGGUAAUACGUAGGUGGCAAGCGUUGUCCGGAUUUACUGGGCGUAAAGAGCGCGCAGGCGGCCAGGUCAGUCGAAUGUGAAAGCCCCCGGCUCAACUGGGGAAGGUCGUUCGAUACUGCCUGGCUCGAAGAUAGGAGAGGGAAGUGGAAUUUCAGGUGUAGUGGUGAAAUGCGUAGAUAUCUGAAGGAACACCAGUGGCGAAGGCGACUUUCUGGCCUAUUCUUGACGCUGAGGCGCGAAAGCUAGGGGAGCGAACGGGAUUAGAUACCCCGGUAGUCCUAGCCGUAAACGAUGAACACUAGAUGUUGGUGGUAUCAACCCCGCCAGUGUCGCAGCUAACGCAUUAAGUGUUCCGCCUGGGGAGUACGGCCGCAAGGCUAAAACUCAAAGGAAUUGACGGGGGCCCGCACAAGCAGCGGAGCGUGGGGUUUAAUUCGACGCAACGCGAAGAACCUUACCAGGGCUUGACAUGACCAGGAAUCCGGCGGAAACGUCGGCGCCUCGCAAGAGGCCUGGCCACAGGUGUUGCAUGGCUGUCGUC